GACGAACGCUGGCGGCGUGCUUAACACAUGCAAGUCGAACGGAAAGGCCCUGCUUUUGUGGGGUGCUCGAGUGGCGACCGGGUAAGUAACACGUGCGUAACCUGCCCUUGACUUUGGGAUAACUUCAGGAAACUGGGGCUAAUACCGGAUAGGAGCUCCUGCUGCAUGGUGGGGGUUGGAAAGUUUCGGCGGUUGGGGAUGGACUCGCGGCUUAUCAGCUUGUUGGUGGGGUAGUGGCUUACCAAGGCUUUGACGGGUAGCCGGCCUGAGAGGGUGACCGGCCACAGUGGGAGUGAGAUACGGCCCAGACUACUACGGGAGGCAGCAGUGGGGAAUAUUGCACAAUGGGCGGAAGCCUGAUGCAGCAACGCCGCGUGAGGGAUGACGGCCUUCGGGUUGUAAACCGCUUUCGCCUGUGACGAAGCGUGAGUGACGGUAAUGGGUAAAGAAGCACCGGCUAACUACGUG
rnacentral:rRNA from 1 species